AAUGGGCGAAAGCCUGACGCAGCCACGCCGCGUGGAGGAAGACACCCUAUGGGGCGUAAACUCCUUUUAUAUGGGAAGAAAGUCCCGGUCGCCGGGGCCUGACGGUACCAUAUGAAUAAGCACCGGCUAACUCCGUGCCAGCAGCCGCGGUAAUACGGAGGGUGCAAGCGUUGUCCGGAUUUACUGGGUGUAAAGGGUGUGUAGGUGGAAUUGCAAGUCAGUGGUGAAAUCCUGCGGCUUAACCGUAGAACUGCCAUUGAUACUGCUUUUCUUGAGUACUGGAGAGGUCACUAGAAUUCGUGGUGUAGCGGUGAAAUGCGUAGAUAUCACGAGGAAUACCAGAGGCGUAGGCGGGUGACUGGACAGAUACUGACACUGAGGCACGAAAGCGUGGGGAGCAAACAGGAUU
rnacentral:rRNA from 1 species